rnacentral:rRNA from 1 species
AGUGAACGCUGGCGGUAGGCCUAACACAUGCAAGUCGAACGGCAGCACAGUAAGAGCUUGCUCUUACGGGUGGCGAGUGGCGGACGGGUGAGGAAUACAUCGGAAUCUACUUUUUCGUGGGGGAUAACGUAGGGAAACUUACGCUAAUACCGCAUACGACCUACGGGUGAAAGCAGGGGAUCUUCGGACCUUGCGCGAUUGAAUGAGCCGAUGUCGGAUUAGCUAGUUGGCGGGGUAAAGGCCCACCAAGGCGACGAUCCGUAGCUGGUCUGAGAGGAUGAUCAGCCACACUGGAACUGAGACACGGACCAGACUCCUACGGGAGGCAGCAGUGGGGAAUAUUGGACAAUGGGCGCAAGCCUGAUCCAGCCAUACCGCGUGGGUGAAGAAGGCCUUCGGGUUGUAAAGCCCUUCUGUUGGGAAAGAAAAGCAGCAGGUUAAUACCCCGCUGUUCUGACGGUACCCAAAGAAUAAGCACCGGCUAACUUCGUG